CCAGUUCUACAAAGUUACCACGGAGCAAUACCAAAAAGCUGCCGAUGAAGUGUCAGCUCGGUUCAAGCGAUAUGAGUCUCAUCCAAUCUGCACUGAUCUGCAGGAUAAAAUUCUACAAUGUUAUCGGCAACACGCUCAGGAGACCCUCAGCUGCUCUGCCCUGGCUAGCCAGUACCUACGUUGCGUCAAUCAUGCCAAACAGCAGAGCAUGCUUGGGAGAGGAGGAUAAAGGCAUUGUCCAAAUCAAGCACAAGACCAUCAACUCUAAUUUCAGCAGAAGAGCAUUUUUCCCAAGAAUGAUAUGACAGCCCAUUUACAGGGCAGACCAAUAAAGAGAAGAACUGGAAGAGCCAUUUCAAGAGCAGGAGCCAUCACAGCUCAAUCAGUGUGACCAUUUGAAAAGCCAAGACCUGUAUCUUAUUACAUGAGAAAUCAUACAUCUGAAGAUACUGUUCAGUGUUAGUAAAAUCCACUUAUUGGUGAUUGAAGGAUGGAAAAGAAAAGAACCUUUCACUGACCUUAGAAAGGGGAAAUAUCCUUCAAAUGCUGCUAUUUCAGUGUAGAAUCUCCUGAAAAACUUCUCACUGUCAAAGGCACGGAUAUGUAACGCUUGGUGUGCUGGGACGCGGUGGUACAUUGUGAGCCAGUCAGCUGCUGCUCCUCACUGUACAGCCUGUAUUCGUUGCUCGUAUUAAAGUUUUCCUUACAAUGUUUAAUGACGUAAAUUGUGCUUUAACUUAUUUCACAAAUUAUGUAACUUAAUGAAGUCUCUCUCCAGGCCUUCUGCUGGAAUGAUG